rnacentral:rRNA from 1 species
AAUGAACGCUGGCGGCAGGCCUAACACAUGCAAGUCGAACGGAUCCUUCGGGAUUAGUGGCGGACGGGUGAGUAACGCGUGGGAACAUACCCUUUGGUACGGAAUAGCCUCGGGAAACUGGGAGUAAUACCGUAUGUGGUCGAGAGACGAAAGAUUUAUCGCCAAAGGAUUGGCCCGCGUUGGAUUAGGUAGUUGGUGGGGUAAUGGCCUACCAAGCCGACGAUCCAUAGCUGGUUUGAGAGGAUGAUCAGCCACACUGGGACUGAGACACGGCCCAGAGUCCGCCGGGAGGCAGCAGUGGGGAAUCUUAGACAAUGGGGGAACCCCUGAUCUAGCCAUGCCGCGUCAUCGAUGAACGCAUUAGGGUUGGACAGAUCUUUCAGGUGGGAAGAUAAUGACUGUACCACCAGAAGAAGCCCCGGCUAACUCCGUGCCAGCCGCCGCCGUAA